GUUCUUUGUUUGUGUCCAGUCUUCAUACAAGGAAAGAAGUUGUGAUGUCAUCUUCAUACAAGGAUAGAAGGUGUGAUGUCAUCUUCAUACAAGGAUAGAGAAGGUGUGAUGUCAUCUUCAUACAAGGAUAGAGAAGGAGUGAUGUCAUCUUCAUACAAGGAUAAAAGGUGUGAUGUUAUCUUCAUACAAGGAAAGAAGGUCUGAUGUCAUCUUCAUGCACUCUAUGCCCGAGUCUGGUACUUCGGGAUAUGUGCAGAUGUGUACCUGGUGCGGGAAGAACCUAUGAUCAAUGUGCUGGACUACCGCAGCAAACCAGCGAAGGUGUUUCCGCAGCGUCUGCAAAAUGAAUAUCCAACCGCCAUUUCAAUCUCCUUGCUGAUAUGAAGCUCAUAUAUUGGUGCCUCAGCUGUGUACGAAAGAAUGAAGCGAACACGAGCAUGAUAGCAAUAUCGUGAAGUACAGGAGCAAGUAACUGGUUACGUGCAUUUCCACACAAGAACUGGUUGGAGCCACAUCAGUUGGGGAGUGCAGUCACAGCGCACGUGUGAGCAGAGAUGACAACUCCGGAGCAAAGGACGGACCAGUCCCCACACCAGUGGCUCGGACCACGCUAGAUCGGAUUAGAUGGACUGCAGCUGGUGUUCUGACCCGGCAUGGCGAUACUGAUAUCACAUGGUCAUUUCAAGAUGUGCAUGAUACCGUCAACUAGUAAACUGGAGAGUACACGUAUGGAUUUCCCUGGCAGGAGCUAUGUGUGCAUCACUUUAUCCCUGUUGUUGUCUGAACUCCUGUCGCAAAUGGACAGCGAGCAACUGCGUCCUGCAUAGCAUCACUGGUGUUCAAGAGAAGGUACCCUCACUGCUUUAUGUCUCACAAGAUGCUCAUUGACCAAUGCUUUCUCAACAUGAAAAGCGGUAAGACAGAAAGGUGCAUUGCAGAAUUCAAUGGAGUGUAUUUGGUCUGUCACGAGGGAAAUAUUCAGAGUAGCUGGGAUUUGGAUAGAGAGUAACAAUUUCUGCAGGAAUAGUGCUCAGUGUGCUAAGCACAGUGCCGAGUAACACAGCACCAGGAGGUGCCAUUACGGACAGCACCUGCUUCUCUGUGCUCAUCUUCAGCUGCGUGAAGUUUGCAAUAGGCAUGAAAUUCUGAUCAUCAGCCUAAUGACCGUUGGGCUUCGUGCUGCACGCAUAACUUAUCCAGGACGAUUUUUUUGCGGCAUACACCACACCAUUACAAAACCCAGCUUCAUUUUGCGGGUAUCAUCUCUGCUUGUUUAUCACGUUUAGCUACGAGAGAGGGUUUUACGUCAACACAUUACUAAAUGUUUUCCUCACAUUGUCAGUACAUUAUGUUAUUAGCUCUGUGAGUGUAUGCGUAUGGGUCGGUGCCAGAACAACAGAAACUUCAUGUAAUUAUGUGCUCAAGUCGUAAUCGUACACGACAAUAGUGCUUGGCUGUGGCCCCACGCUUUUCCCAUCUGCAUCCCUAGAGCAAGGGCGUAUUGCCACGAUCAUACUCCAAUUUUUUUAAAUUUUAUAUUUACACCUAUGUGUGUGUGCGUCUGCAAUUUGUAUUAUUUCAUUACUAGUUCUAGUUCAUUCUCUUCUGCCAAUAUUUUCAUUGUUGAGUGUUCCUGAGAGGAGAAAAAAUGAUGUACGCAUGUCUGGGUAA